UCUGAUGGAGCAACGCCGCGUGAGUGAAGAAGGGUUUCGGCUCGUAAAACUCUGUUGUUAAAGAAGAACAUAUCUGAGAGUAACUGUUCAGGUAUUGACGGUAUUUAACCAGAAAGCCACGGCUAACUACGUGCCAGCAGCCGCGGUAAUACGUAGGUGGCAAGCGUUGUCCGGAUUUAUUGGGCGUAAAGCGAGCGCAGGCGGUUUUUUAAGUCUGAUGUGAAAGCCUUCGGCUCAACCGAAGAAGUGCAUCGGAAACUGGGAAACUUGAGUGCAGAAGAGGACAGUGGAACUCCAUGUGUAGCGGUGAAAUGCGUAGAUAUAUGGAAGAACACCAGUGGCGAAGGCGGCUGUCUGGUCUGUAACUGACGCUGAGGCUCGAAAGUAUGGGUAGCAAACAGGAUUAGAUACCCUGGUAGUCCAUACCGUAAACGAUGAAUGCUAAGUGUUGGAGGGUUUCCGCCCUUCAGUGCUGCAGCUAACGCAUUAAGCAUUCCGCCUGGGGAGUACGGCCGCAAGGCUGAAACUCAAAGGAAUUGACGGGGGCCCGCACAAGCGGUGGAGCAUGUGGUUUAAUUCGAAGCUACGCGAAGAACCUUACCAGGUCUUGACAUACUAUGCAAAUCUAAGAGAUUAGACGUUCCCUUCGGGGACAUGGAUACAGGUGGUGCAUGGUUGUCGUCAGCUCGUGUCGUGAGAUGUUGGGUUAAGUCCCGCAACGAGCGCAACCCUUAUUAUCAGUUGCCAGCAUUAAGUUGGGCACUCUGGUGAGACUGCCGGUGACAAACCGGAGGAAGGUGGGGAUGACGUCAAAUCAUCAUGCCCCCUUAUGACCUGGGGCUACACACGUGCUACAAUGGAUGGUACAACGAGUUGCGAACUCGCGAGAGUAAGCUAAUCUCUUAAAGCCAUUCUCAGUUCGGAUUGUGGCUGCAACUCGCCUACAUGAAGUCGGAAUCGCUAGUAAUCGCGGAUCAGCA
rnacentral:rRNA from 1 species